rnacentral:rRNA from 1 species
GGCGGACGGGUGAGUAAUGUAUAGUUAAUCUGCCCUUUAGAGGGGGAUAACAGUUGGAAACGACUGCUAAUACCCCAUACUCCUUUUAUCUUAAUGAUAAUUGGGAAACGUUUUUUCGCUAAAGGAUGAGACUAUAUGGUAUCAGGUAGCUGGUAGGGUAAGAGCCUACCAAGCCAAUGACGCCUAGCUGGUCUGAGAGGAUGGUCAGCCACACUGGAACUGAGACACGGUCCAG